rnacentral:rRNA from 1 species
GAGUCCUACGGGAGGCAGCAGUGAGGAAUAUUGGUCAAUGGGCGGAAGCCUGAACCAGCCAAGUCGCGUGAGGGAUUAAGGCCCCGCGGGUCGUAAACCUCUUUUGCCGGGGAGCAGUGGUCCGGACGCGUCCGGACCGGGAGAGUACCCGGAGAAAAAGCAUCGGCUAACUCCGUGCCAGCAGCCGCGGUAAUACGGAGGAUGCGAGCGUUAUCCGGAUUUAUUGGGUUUAAAGGGUGCGUAGGCGGAGUGUCAAGUCAGCGGUAAAAUUUCGGGGCUCAACCCCGUCGUGCCGUUGAAACUGA